rnacentral:rRNA from 2 species
ACGAACGCUGGCGGCGUGCCUAAUACAUGCAAGUCGAACGCACUGACGUCGACCGAAGCUGCUUGCAGUGGACGUUGAUUGACGUGAGUGGCGGACGGGUGAGUAACACGUGGGUAACCUACCCUUAAGUGGGGGAUAACAUUUGGAAACAGAUGCUAAUACCGCAUAACCAUUCAGACCACAUGGUCUGAAUGUAAAAGACGGCCUUUGGCUGUCACUUUUGGACGGACCCGCGGCGUAUUAGUUAGUUGGUAAGGUAACGGCUUACCAAGACAAUGAUACGUAGCCGACCUGAGAGGGUAAUCGGCCACAUUGGG